rnacentral:tRNA from 1 species
AAGGAAACUUGAUUAAAAAGGAGCUGCUAACUACCUUUUGUAAUGGUUAAAUUCCAUUUUUUCCUUA